rnacentral:rRNA from 1 species
CCUUAGUACGGCGAGUGAAGCGGCAAAAGCUCAAAUUUGAAAUCUGGUACCUUCGGUGCCCGAGUUGUAAUUUGGAGAGGGCAACUUUGGGGCCGUUCCUUGUCUAUGUUCCUUGGAACAGGACGUCAUAGAGGGUGAGAAUCCCGUGUGGCGAGGAGUGCGGUUCUUUGUAAAGUGCCUUCGAAGAGUCGAGUUGUUUGGGAAUGCAGCUCUAAGUGGGUGGUAAAUUCCAUCUAAAGCUAAAUAUUGGCGAGAGACCGAUAGCGAACAAGUACAGUGAUGGAAAGAUGAAAAGAACUUUGAAAAGAGAGUGAAAAAGUACGUGAAAUUGUUGAAAGGGAAGGGCAUUUGAUCAGACAUGGUGUUUUGUGCCCUCUGCUCCUUGUGGGUAGGGGAAUCUCGCAUUUCACUGGGCCAGCAUCAGUUUUGGUGGCAGGAUAAAUCCAUAGGAAUGUAGCUUGCCUCGGUAAGUAUUAUAGCCUGUGGGAAUACUGCCAGCUGGGACUGAGGACUGCGACGUAAGUCAAGGAUGCUGGCAUAAUGGUUAUAUGCCGCCCGUCUUGAA